GACGAACGCUGGCGGCGUGCUUAACACAUGCGAGUCGAACGGAAAGGCCCUGCUUUUGUGGGGUGCUCUAGUGGCGAACGGGUGCGUAACACGUUAGUAACCUGCCCUUGACUUUGGUAUAACUUCAGGAAACUGGGGCUAAUACCGGAUAGGAGCUCCUGCUUCAUGGUGGGCGUUGGAAAGUUUCGGCGGUUGGGGAUGGACUCGCGGCGUAUCAGCUUGUUGGUGGGGUAGUGGCUUACCAGGGCUUUGACGGGUAGCCGGCCUGAGAGGGUGACCGGCAAAAUUGGGACUGAGAUACGGCCCAGAGUCGUACGGGAGGCAGGAGUGGGGAAUAUUGCACGAUGGGCGGAAGCCUGAUGCAGCAACGCGGCGUGCGGGAUGACGGCCUUCGGGUUGUAAACCGCAUUCGCCUGUGACGAAGCGUGAGUGACGGUAAUGGGUAAAGAAGCACCGGCUAACUACGUG
rnacentral:rRNA from 1 species